GCACGGCUAAAUACGUGCCAGCAGCCGCGGUAAUACGUAUGGUGCAAGCGUUAUCCGGAUUUACUGGGUGUAAAGGGAGCGUAGACGGAUGGGCAAGUCUGAUGUGAAAACCCGGGGCUCAACCCCGGGACUGCAUUGGAAACUGUUCAUCUAGAGUGCUGGAGAGGUAAGUGGAAUUCCUAGUGUAGCGGUGAAAUGCGUAGAUAUUAGGAGGAACACCAGUGGCGAAGGCGGCUUACUGGACAGUAACUGACGUUGAGGCUCGAAAGCGUGGGGAGCAAACAGGAUUAGAUACCCUGGUAGUCCACGCCGUAAACGAUGACUACUAGGUGUCGGGUAGCAAAGCUAUUCGGUGCCGCAGCUAACGCAAUAAGUAGUCCACCUGGGGAGUACGUUCGCA
rnacentral:rRNA from 1 species